CGGAGCUGCAAAGUCGGCCCUUUCUUAGCCCCGCUUAAAGCUCGUCACCCCUAGAACCCGGAUUCAAGGUUGAAUCCUUGGAAAGGUGGCCACGAACCCUAGAACCGAAGGGAAACCGUUCGGCUUCUCCUCCUCCGGCACGGCGCAGGUUCGGCCAGCUGGAGACGUUGACGAGGGCGGAUUUCACGGCUUUUUGCCGUUUUGGUGAAAGGCUGCCAGGCUUCGGGCGGUGUACGUGCCGAGGGCGCACAUGGGUCAGGCUGCAGAAGGCGUACGGCGCCAGGGGUUGGCUGCGGCGCAGAAGGGGUAGGGAAACCUAGGGUUUCUCUGAUUGUGUUUAAUUUUUGGGCUUACCGGGCUUGAUUUUUUUGGGCUAGUUGGGCCAUUUGUUUGGACUGUAAUGGAUUUUUUUAUAUUUUAUAUUUUGGUUUGUUUUUCACUUGGGCCCGGGCAAAAUAGGGCCUGUACACUUCAUAGGAGAGAACUUAAAGGUCAAAUGGAGAAAGGAGGAGCUUGAACGUUGAAGGUUGAAGACUUUGUCAAAGAUGGCAUCAAUUUGAGACAUAAUGAAUUUAUAGUAUGUGUUGCAAA